rnacentral:rRNA from 1 species
AGCGAACGCUGGCGGCAGGCUUAACACAUGCAAGUCGAGCGGGCACUUUCGGGUGUCAGCGGCGGACGGGUGAGUAACGCGUGGGAACGUGCCCUCUGGUUCGGAAUAACUCAGGGAAACUUGAGCUAAUACCGGAUACGCCCUUUUGGGGAAAGGCUUGCUGCCGGAGGAUCGGCCCGCGUCUGAUUAGCUAGUUGGUGAGGUAACGGCUCACCAAGGCGACGAUCAGUAGCUGGUCUGAGAGGAUGAUCAGCCACACUGGGACUGAGACACGGCCCAGACUCCUACGGGAGGCAGCAGUGGGGAAUAUUGGAAAAUGGGCGCAAGCCUGAUCCAGCCAUGCCGCGUGAGUGAUGAAGGCCUUAGGGUUGUAAAGCUCUUGUAUCCGGGACGAUAAUGACGGUACCGGAGGAAUAAGCCCCGGCUAACUUCGUG